rnacentral:rRNA from 1 species
CUGUGCUUCCAUCUGUGCUCCCACUUCAUCCUACGGCUGUCUUUUUUCCUUUUUUCUUUCUAAUCUAAUCAUCUCUCCCCUGAUUUUAAGAGGGUGGAGCCAGGCCUUAUUUUGUUCCAAUCAAAUCAAGCCACAUAGACGGAAGCAUGGAUAAGCCACGUAGACGGAAGCAUGGAUGGGCACACGACGGGGGAGCAGGCAAGUCUCGUCCAGUCAGAUGGCCUUGGAGGUACCACACGUCGCUUGCACCACAAUAAUUUUAGUUUGUGUUCCUAUCUGUAUAUUAAAGACAAGGAAAUAGUCAGGCAAAAAAGAGGGGUCGAAUUAUGACCUCACAAAAACAAACGUUUGCUGUCAUCAUUUGCACCACACAACGCCAAAACCCAUUCUUGGCAACAAAAGGAUGGUAGGAAAACAGAGUGUGCUCAUCUCCAAGACAAUAAGAUGAUUCUACGGCAUGCCAAGUGCCAACCAAUUCAACAUGUUAUUGUUACAGAUUCAAUACGGACAUCACACUCUCUAUUCAUGUUAGUUCAUAAAUGGUGCGCACCACUGCAACGACAGAUCCUUACCCGGUGUGCCUCUGACCUUCUCUUACUCCAUCUGCUUCACGAACUCGGCGAACGCGGCACAAGACGAGCCACCUUCCUUCCACGCCGCGGCGGCGCUCUCCUUUACGGCCAUGGCCCGUUCGACGACCGCUCGCCGACCUUCCGACUCCAUGUCCAUGAUCUGCCUAACCGUGGCAUCCACAUUAUCGGCCGAGACAAGCACCCCGGGUUUGUUAUACCCUCUCACCGCCACGCCAACCUUCAUCUCCUCGACAAUGUACACCUUGUUCAUCCACUGCUCGGCUUCCAGCGGCCAGCACACCAUCGGCACGCCGGUGGCCGCCGCCUCCAGCGUCGAGUUCCAUCCGCAGUGCGUCAUGAAGGCACCAGUGGACGCGUGACGCAGCACGUCCAUCUGUGGCACCCAGGACGCGGUCACCACGAGGCCCCUGCCGGCCGUCCGGGCCAAGAACCCCUCGGGGAGGAGAGACAGCGUCGCGUCCGGCUCGCCGGCGACUGCGGCGAAGGCAGGAGGCGCGCGCAGCACCCACAGGAACCUGUACCCGGACAUCUCGAGCCCCUUGGCCAUCUCCCUGAUCUGCUCCAGCGAGGCCGUGCAGCGGCUGCCGAAGCAGAUGUACACGACGCUGCCCUCGGGCUGCGCGUCCAGCCACGGGAGGCAUGGGUGCCUCUCCUCCUCCUCGCCGCCUUCCGCGAUCAACGGGCCUACGCAGUAGACCCGCGGGGCGGCGCGGCCGCGGAGGCAGCGCCCGUCUCUAAUCGCCGCCACCGCCGAGCCCUCCAGCGCCUCGAAGGUGUUCACCAGAAUGCCGCGCGCUGUCGCCAUCCGGCCGAAUACGUCCAGCACAGCCGCGUACAGGUCCGUCCCGCUGUCGAGCACCCCGUCGACCAAGUGAGACGCCGGCAUCGUGGGCACGCCGGGGAACGACACGGGCGCGUCGCCGAGAUCUUUCAAGUCUGCGCCGCUCCCGGAGCAAAAUGAAGGCAGCUCGAGGAAGACGGUAAGGUUGGCGGCGCCUGUGCAGUAGAAGAGGUGCCCCGGGACGCCCACCUCCGCGGCGACGUCGAGGAGGUAAGCGGCGAACAUGUCGGCCACGAGCGCGUGGACUGCGGGGAGGCUGCGGAGGAAGUCUCGCAGGCCGGGUGCCUGGGAGCGGAAGACAGCCUGCAUGCGGAUGAACGGGUGCACGGCGCCAACGGAGUGGUCAUCGGCAGGAGGGGGAGGGAGGGAGUGGACGGAGAGGGAGGGGAGCCGGGAGGCGUACCGGCCGAUGGUGGAGCGGAAAACCGGGGAGGUGAGGGUUGGGUCCGGGACGGCGACGGUGACGGCGAGGCCACGACGGAGGCAGACCGCAGCGAACUCCAUCAUGGGCGUGAGGUGGCUUAUGCUCUGGCCGGGGAUGAGGACCACCCUCCUCGCCGUCGCCAUUGGAGGGUUCUUCUUCUGGUUUUGUUUUGCUUUGGUUUGUGGCCUGUGGAUUUCGGGUUUGGACAGUGGACCGACCAGCCGAAAGUGCGAAACCUUGUGUAGCUUCUAGGUUGCUGUCUUAUCAGGAGAUGGACCGACCAGCCGAAAGUGCGAAACCUUGUGUAGCUUCUAGGUUGCUGUCUUAUCAGGAGAUAGGUGCAGUUCUUUUCGACUAGAGGUAAACGCGCGCUCGCCGCGCAGUUUUUAAGCAUGAUUGGUUUGAUGCUAAAAAUUGGCAUGCCAACAUUUGAUAAAUGCCAAAUAUUGGCUAGUGCUUGGUUGGUUACCAAGUUUAC